rnacentral:rRNA from 1 species
UACGGAGGGCGCUAGCGUUGUUCGGAAUUACUGGGCGUAAAGCGCACGUAGGCGGCUAUUCAAGUCAGAGGUGAAAGCCCGGGGCUCAACCCCGGAACUGCCUUUGAAACUAGGUGGCUAGAAUCUUGGGGAGGCGAGUGGAAUUCCGAGUGUAGAGGUGAAAUUCGUAGAUAUUCGGAAGAACACCAGUGGCGAAGGCGACUCGCUGGACAAGUAUUGACGCUGAGGUGCGAAAGCGUGGGGAGCAAACAGG